rnacentral:tRNA from 2 species
GCCCGGCUAGCUCAGUUGGUAGAGCAUGAGAUUUUUAAUCUCAGGGUCGUGGGUUCGAGCCCCACGUUGGGCG